rnacentral:rRNA from 1 species
UACGUAGGGUGCGAGCGUUGUCCGGAAUUACUGGGCGUAAAGAGCUCGUAGGCGGUGUGUCGCGUCGGCCGUGAAAACCUGGGGCUCAACUCUGGGCGUGCGGUCGAUACGGGCAUCACUGGAGUUCGGCAGGGGAGACUGGAAUUCCUGGUGUAGCGGCGAAAUGCGCAGAUAUCAGGAGGAACACCGGUGGCGAAGGCGGGUCUCUGGGCCGAUACUGACGCUGAGGAGCGAAAGCAUGGGUAGCGAACAGG